UGCAGUCGAGCGGAACGAUCCUAGCUUGCUAGGAGGCGUCGAGCGGCGGACGGGUGAGUAAUGCAUAGGAAUCUGCCCGGUAGUGGGGGAUAACUUGAGGAAACUCAAGCUAAUACCGCAUACGCCCUACGGGGGAAAGCAGGGGCUCUUCGGACCUUGCGCUAUCGGAUGAGCUUAUGUCGGAUUAGCUGGUUGGUGAGGUAACGGCUCACCAAGGCGACGAUCCGUAGCUGGUCUGAGAGGAUGAUCAGCCACAUCGGGACUGAGACACGGCCCGAACUCCUACGGGAGGCAGCAGUGGGGAAUAUUGGACAAUGGGGGCAACCCUGAUCCAGCCAUGCCGCGUGUGUGAAGAAGGCCCUCGGGUUGUAAAGCACUUUCAGCGAGGAAGAAUGCUUGUCGGUUAAUACCCGGCAAGGGAGACAUCACUCGCAGAAGAAGCACCGGCUAACUCCGUGCCAGCAGCCGCGGUAAUACGGAGGGUGCGAGCGUUAAUCGGAAUUACUGGGCGUAAAGCGUGCGUAGGCGGCUUGAUAAGCCGGUUGUGAAAGCCCCGGGCUCAACCUGGGAACGGCAUCCGGAACUGUUAGGCUAGAGUGCAGGAGAGGAAGGUAGAAUUCCCGGUGUAGCGGUGAAAUGCGUAGAGAUCGGGAGGAAUACCAGUGGCGAAGGCGGCCUUCUGGACUGACACUGACGCUGAGGUACGAAAGCGUGGGUAGCAAACAGGAUUAGAUACCCUGGUAGUCCACGCCGUAAACGAUGUCGACUAGCCGUUGGGGUCCUCGAGACCUUUGUGGCGCAGUUAACGCACUAAGUCGACCGCCUGGGGAGUACGGCCGCAAGGUUAAAACUCAAAUGAAUUGACGGGGGCCCGCACAAGCGGUGGAGCAUGUGGUUUAAUUCGAUGCACGCGAAGAACCUUACCUACC
rnacentral:rRNA from 1 species